GUUUAUGGCGUGGACAGAAGACAGGACUCAGCGUGAGACAGUUCUCGUUGACCCUUUAUCAAGUAUCAAUGCACGAUUCACUGAGCAACACUGAAGCGUGAAGACGAGACAGGCCGUUCCUUUGUGUGUAGAACGCCGACGUCUCAAUGGAGACAUUUGUUGCAGCAGUAAUGAGAAAUAAUGAGGUGAAGCUUGGCUGAGUGCUGACAGGGCAGAGCAGGUGGGACAAAACAAACUGCGAUGUUAUCUCCACCAGCAUCCCUUCCACCUGAAAGCCACCAGCUCUGCAGCUGGGAAAACAAGCGUCCGUCCCAGUCACGGGGAACAUGCAGCUUCACAGCACAGAAAGAUGGAAGAUGGCAAACAAAACAUCCUCUCAUCUCUCAGCAGGAGAUCACACACGCACUACCGCUGUCACCUUCAACUCUCUGACAGCAGGUCUAAUCAGUCCACAGGAGCCUGGCUGAGGUCACACAGUAUAAGAGCAGUGAUUGCAGAUUAAAUCAGGAGUUAGUGGCCAGUGGCGCAGCGUCCUCUGGGUUGUGAAGACAGCGAGGAGGAAAUCAAGGACGCAACACGAAUCAGAAUCAGAAUUUGAAACAAUUAUAAAAGCCUUUUGUCUGUUCUAAGUUCAAAAGAAAUGAAUACACACAUGUAGGAAACAACUAAUUAGAUUGUAAAAGUUGUACAUCACAUUUUAAAUCUAUUCCACAGAGAGUAAUGAUUUGACCCUUCAGUUUGAAAAAAUUAGUCAGAAAAAUAGCAAUGAGUUAUUUUCUCCAAAUCCUAAUAAUAAUUUUCUAUUAUUAAUUCUCCCAUAA